rnacentral:rRNA from 1 species
UACGAAGGGGGCUAGCGUUGUUCGGAAUUACUGGGCGUAAAGCGCACGUAGGCGGACUCUUAAGUCAGGGGUGAAAUCCCGGGGCUCAACCUCGGAACUGCCUUUGAUACUGUGAGUCUCGAGACCGGAAGAGGUGAGUGGAAUUCCUAGUGUAGAGGUGAAAUUCGUAGAUAUUAGUAAGAACACCAGUGGCGAAGGCGGCUCACUGGUCCGGUUCUGACGCUGAGGUGCGAAAGCGUGGGGAGCAAACAGG